GUGCAAGUGUUACGUGGUGUGUGCAUGCAAAUGUGGUGUGCACGCAUUGGGUGUUGUGUGUAUGCAUGCAUCCAUUGUGUGUUGCAUGUGUGUUGUGUGCAGGUGUGUGCUUCAUGCGUGUUGUGUAUACUGUAUGUUGUGUGGCAUGGGAAGUGUCUGACAGCACACUUCUACAUCCUGCAGGGGAUGUGACCUCUCUUCUCUGGAGCCCCAUAAUCUCUUUGCACAUCACUCCCACAACAUACUGCGUGAACACCGAGUUCCCUGUGGGGCUCCUUUGCCACAGGAUGUCUGCCCUGGGACAGGACCUGCAGAAGCCGCUGAAUGGACAAAGACCCAGAACAAAGAGAUUCUUGCUUGAGUGCCUGGCUACACCUCCUUCUCGGGUCCAUAGCAGGACGGGUGUCCCCUGUUUUCUGCUACUCCCAGGUCUGGGGAGAAGAAGCUGCUGCCACUGCCUGCUUCAUGCUGGACCAGGCAAUACCACCUGCCUUCCCCUCCCAGGUCUGAGCCACCUCCUUGUGCCAGGCUCUGUGCAUCUUUCAACGUGUGGCAGGUGAGCAGGGAGGGUGAUGUCCUCUUCGGGGGCUGUGUGCCCAACUGAUUGUCCAUGCUAAGCUACAGAGUGGGGGCUGGAAGUGUGGGUGCAUGUGUGUGUGCACAGAUAAUCCCUGAGUUGUGGAGUGCAGGUGGUGUGUGGAUGUCUCUGAGACACGUGUGCAUGUGAGAUGUGUGUGCCCAUGUCCAGGCAUCCUUGUUGGGUGGUGUCUCUGGGGUGCAUGUCUGCACACGUGUACAGAUUUCUCUGUGUGCGCAUCCCUAUGGGGGAUAUGUGUGUGUACAGAUCACGGCUGACUUAGCUUUUCUGAGAGUUGUGCAGACAGCUGAGACAGUGCAAACACAAGUGAGAGAGACGCCUGGGAGGAAGCUGCACUGGGCCCUCCUCCCAUAUGCAGUGAGAAACGGACCAGCGCCAUGCAUCUUCAGCACUGGUGGCAGUGCCUCACCCUCAGGACCAGGGACCCACAGAAGGUGCCACUGUCCCGAGGGCCAUGUGGACAGAAAGGCCAAGCAAAGGGGGCAGAGAGGUGGACAGCACGGCCUGGAGGUGCCAUGCAGACAGGCAGCAAGGCGCAGGGGAGGGCACCAUGCUGCACUGCAGGGGC
rnacentral:lncRNA from 1 species